rnacentral:rRNA from 1 species
UACGAAGGGGGCUAGCGUUGUUCGGAAUUACUGGGCGUAAAGGGCUCGUAGGUGGCCAACUAAGUCAGACGUGAAAUCCCUCAGCUUAACUGGGGAACUGCGUCUGAUACUGGAUGGCUUGAGUUUGGGAGAGGGAUGCGGAAUUCCAGGUGUAGUGGUGAAAUGCGUAGAUAUCUGGAGGAACACCGGUGGCGAAGGCGGCAUCCUGGACCAACACUGACACUGAGGAGCGAAAGCCAGGGGAGCAAACGGG